rnacentral:lncRNA from 1 species
UAUGGAGAAAAUGAAUAAUCAUGGUGGGUCAAAAAUUUAUGCUGCUGUUGAUGGUCAAGAAUUUAUGGAGAAAAUGAAUAAUCAUGGUGGGUUGGAUUAUGAAAGUCUAAAAAGAACAGAGGGGGAGGAGGAGAGGAGGAGAAAUACUACAAGUUCUGCCAUUUUCGCUUCUUGUGCCAAAAAAGAAAAGAUUGUGUCAUCCGACCAUUCUUGCGGCAAAAAAAUUAUUAUCUUUGAGUCGUCAGAUGCCUAAAACCGAAUUGGGUAAUGAUCAAAAUGUGCCUAAAACAAGCCUUACCCUACAAUCUUCUGAUUCUUUUGUCGAUUGCUUCAAGAAUAUGAACCAGAACCCAAGAAAAUCCAAGAAACGAUGUCGCGAUAAUCUCUAAGAAGAAGAGGCUGAAACAAGGAAGAAAGACGCUCUUAUGGUACAAGUUAUACAGCAACCACUAGAUUUACCUCAAGAACUGAAGAAUUACAUUGAUAGCCAUGUGUUGGGUGGUGGUACUUUGGUCGCGCCACCAGUGUUUGUGAUACAAAAGGCUUUGACAAAGACUGACUUGAGCAAAGGCCACAAUCGUCUGUCAAUGCCGCAUACCAGAAUCAACUGUGAUUUUCUUGAGAAUUUUC